UAGGUAAUCUUCCGCAAUGGACGAAAGUCUGACGGAGCAACGCCGCGUGAGUGAAGAAGGAUUUCGGUUCGUAAAACUCUGUUGUUAGGGAAGAAAAAAUGUAUAGUAACUAUAUACAAAAGAGACGGUACCUAACCAGAAAGCCACGGCUAACUACGUGCCAGCAGCCGCGGUAAUACGUAGGUGGCAAGCGUUGUCCGGAAUUAUUGGGCGUAAAGCGCGCGCAGGUGGUUUAGAAAGUCUGAUGUGAAAGCCCACGGCUCAACCGUGGAGGGUCAUUGGAAACUAAUAAACUUGAGUGCAGGAGAGAAAAGUGGAAUUCCUAGUGUAGCGGUGAAAUGCGUAGAGAUUAGGAGGAACACCGGUGGCGAAAGCGGCUUUUUGGCCUGCAACUGACACUGAGGCGCGAAAGCGUGGGGAGCAAACAGG
rnacentral:rRNA from 1 species